UAUAUUAAUGUUCCUGCAGUUAUUCGAUGCUCGUAGUUGGAUUUCUGGGGGCUGAGAUUGGAAGGUGGCCAAGGUCACCGUCGAACUCUUCCAUCAUCCACCUGAUAACGUUGUCCGGGAUUUGUUUCUCGGCUUCAGGCUCAGGUAUUUUACCCUUUCUAUAUAUUCAUUUAUUUAUCUUCUUUUUGAGUAAAUUAUAGUGUUUCAGGCAGGCGUGCGCCGGAAUACUUUAGCAUGGAAUAAUCGAAUUGGACCGUGUAUUCUUAUAGAAUUCUUCCUUAUUUGUUGGUUUCAAGGACACGGAAAUGGUUAAUAGGGAUAGUGUUUUCAGGGGAGGCAUUAGUAUUUAAUUUCCAGAGGUGAAAUUCUUUGAAAUAUUAAAGACUAACUUAUGCGAAAGCAUUUAUUUUGCCAAUAAUGUUUUCAUUAAUCAUUGAACGAAAGUUAGGGGAUCAAAGACGAUCAGAUACCGUCCUAGUCUUAACCAUAAACGUUGCCGACUAGGGAUCGGAGGGCGUGCACAUUCCGCCUUCGGCACCUUACGAGAAAUCAAAGUCUUUUGGGUUCUGGGGGUAGUAUGGUCGCAAGGCUGAAACUUAAAGGAAUUGACGGAAGGGCACCACCAGGAGUGGAGCUUGCGGCUCAAUUUGACUCAACACGGGAAAUCUUACCAGGUCCAGACAUAGCGAGGAUUGACAGAUUGAUAGCUCUUUCUUGAUUCUAUGGGUAUUUAUUUUAAUUUUGGUGGUGCAUGGCCGUUCUUAGUUGGUGGAGUGAUUUGUCUGGUUAAUUCCGUUAAACGAACGAGACCUCAGCCUGCUAAAUAGUUACCUGUCUUUCUUUUACGAGACUUGAUAACUUCUUAGAGGGACGUUGUGUGCAACCACAAGGAAGUUGAGGCAAUAACAGGUCUGUGAUGCCCUUAGAUGUCCUGGGCCGCACGCGUGCUACACUGAUACGUACAACAAGGUAUAUGCAUUUAUGCAUCGAUGCUGCUCCGAAAUAGACACAGCUAAAUCUUCUAAAAUACGUAUCGUGCUGCGGAUAGAUCGUUGAAAUUAUGGAUCUUGAAGGUGGAAUUCCUAGUAAGCGCGGGUCAUCAACCCGCGUUGAUUACGUCCCUGCCCUUUGUACACACCGCCCGUCGCUCCUACCAAUUUCGAGUGGCUCGGUGAACCUCUUUGGACUGUCGAGCAAUCGCGAAAUUAGAGUGAACCUGGUCAC
rnacentral:rRNA from 1 species